rnacentral:tRNA from 6 species
GCGAGAGUGGUGAAACUGGCAGACACGCCAGACUUAGGAUCUGGUGCUUCGGCAUGAGGGUUCAAAUCCCUCCUCUCGCA